UACGUAGGGACCAAGCGUUGUUCGGAUUUACUGGGCGUAAAGGGCGCGUAGGCGGCAAUUCAAGUCAUCUGUGAAAUCUCCGGGCUUAACCCGGAACGGUCAGAUGAUACUGCUUUGCUAGAGUGCGGAGGGGGCAAUCGGAAUUCUCGGUGUAGCGGGGAAAUGCGUAGGUAUCGAGAGGAACACCAGAGGUGAAGACGGGUUGCUGGGCCGACACUGACGCUUAUAGCGCGAAAGCCAGGGGAGCAAACGGG
rnacentral:rRNA from 1 species